rnacentral:rRNA from 1 species
UACGGAGGAUGCGAGCGUUAUCCGGAUUUAUUGGGUGUAAAGGGUGCGUAGACGGGAAAUUAAGUUAGUUGUGAAAUCCCUCGGCUUAACUGAGGAACUGCAACUAAAACUGAUUUUCUUGAGUACUGGAGAGGAAAGUGGAAUUCCUAGUGUAGCGGUGAAAUGCGUAGAUAUUAGGAGGAACAUCAGUGGCGAAGGCGGCCACCUGGACCGGUAUUGACGCUGAGGCGCGAAAGCGUGGGGAGCAAACAGG